GGUCUGGUAGUUUUGUUGGUAGAACACUGCUAUAUAUAGACAGAGAUCCUGGGUUCAAUCUCUAGCUGGUCCA
rnacentral:tRNA from 2 species